rnacentral:tRNA from 1 species
GCCGGGCUUGUAGCGGGCGAUGAGCUGGGCGGCGUUGUCGACGCCGUACAGGCGGCGGUUGCGGGCCACGUCCGCGGGGUCGGCG